rnacentral:rRNA from 1 species
GAUUAAGUUAUUAAGGGCGCACGGUGGAUGCCUUGGCACUAGAAGCCGAUGAAGGACGUUACUAACGACGAUAUGCUUUGGGGAGCUGUAAGUAAGCUUUGAUCCAGAGAUUUCCGAAUGGGGAAACCCAGCAUGAGUUAUGUCAUGUUAUCGAUAUGUGAAUACAUAGCAUAUCAGAAGGCACACCCGGAGAACUGAAACAUCUUAGUACCCGGAGGAAGAGAAAGAAAAUUCGAUUCCCUUAGUAGCGGCGAGCGAAACGGGAAGAGCCCAAACCAACAAGCUUGCUUGUUGGGGUUGUAGGACACUCUAUACGGAGUUACAAAGGACGACAUUAGACGAAUCAUCUGGAAAGAUGAAUCAAAGAAGGUAAUAAUCCUGUAGUCGAAAAUGUUGUCUCUCUUGAGUGGAUCCUGAGUACGACGGAGCACGUGAAAUUCCGUCGGAAUCUGGGAGGACCAUCUCCUAAGGCUAAAUACUCUCUAGUGACCGAUAGUGAACCAGUACCGUGAGGGAAAGGUGAAAAGCACCCCGGAAGGGGAGUGAAAUAGAACCUGAAACCGUGUGCUUACAAGUAGUCAGAGCCCGUUAAUGGGUGAUGGCGUGCCUUUUGUAGAAUGAACCGGCGAGUUACGAUUUGAUGCAAGGUUAAGCAGUAAAUGUGGAGCCGUAGCGAAAGCGAGUCUGAAUAGGGCGUUUAGUAUUUGGUCGUAGACCCGAAACCAGGUGAUCUACCCUUGGUCAGGUUGAAGUUCAGGUAACACUGAAUGGAGGACCGAACCGACUUACGUUGAAAAGUGAGCGGAUGAACUGAGGGUAGCGGAGAAAUUCCAAUCGAACCUGGAGAUAGCUGGUUCUCUCCGAAAUAGCUUUAGGGCUAGCCUCAAGUGAUGAUUAUUGGAGGUAGAGCACUGUUUGGACGAGGGGCCCCUCUCGGGUUACCGAAUUCAGACAAACUCCGAAUGCCAAUUAAUUUAACUUGGGAGUCAGAACAUGGGUGAUAAGGUCCGUGUUCGAAAGGGAAACAGCCCAGACCACCAGCUAAGGUCCCAAAAUAUAUGUUAAGUGGAAAAGGAUGUGGCGUUGCCCAGACAACUAGGAUGUUGGCUUAGAAGCAGCCAUCAUUUAAAGAGUGCGUAAUAGCUCACUAGUCGAGUGACACUGCGCCGAAAAUGUACCGGGGCUAAACAUAUUACCGAAGCUGUGGAUUGUCCUUUGGACAAUGGUAGG